rnacentral:rRNA from 1 species
CAGUCGCCGCGGGAAUACAGAGGGUGCGAGCGUUAAUCGGAUUUACUGGGCGUAAAGCGUGCGUAGGCGGCUUUUUAAGUCGGAUGUGAAAUCCCUGAGCUUAACUUAGGAAUCGCAUUCGAUACUGGGAAGCUAGAGUAUGGGAGAGGAUGGUAGAAUUCCAGGUGUAGCGGUGAAAUGCGUAGAGAUCUGGAGGAAUACCGAUGGCGAAGGCAGCCAUCUGGCCUAAUACUGACGCUGAGGUACGAAAGCAUGGGGAGCAAACAGGAUUAGAUACCCGAGUAGUCCCUGUCUCUUAUAC